GCUCGGGGCCCGGGGUGGCGGGGCCGGGCGCGCUGCAACCAGAGCUCAGGCUCCCCAGGCCGAGUCCUUGGGCGCCGGCACUGUCGACUUAACGAUAGAGAACUGAAAUCACGGACAGCAAAGGCGAGAGUGGAGUAAACUGAGCUAAAAAUGUAUUAUGGUCCAUGCUUUUCCGAAGUGAACAUCCUGAAAUGAAACUGAGAGUGUGGUGAUGAAUACAAUGGCUACGAAUAAAUACACUCUGGGGCCGUUUCCUUGAUGCAUACUGAGUGCUGAUAGUUUUAUCCAUUAUGACUUUUGCACCAUCAAUGCAAAUUCAACAAAUGUGGAUUCUCUGAUGCACAAUGAGGGCAGAACUCUGGCUGAAGGAUUUUCCACAAUCAUGGCAUUCGUAUGGUUUCUCUCCAGUGUGGGUUCUCUGAUGUGAGAAAAGGCAUAAGAAAAUGGAGAAAAAAUUACAUUUUUAUAGUAGCAAACAAUUUGAGAAAGAAACAAUAGACACAGAAGCAAGGCCUUUAUCAGCCACAUCCAGAAGAAGUGAAGAUUAUAAGUGGGAAAAACCCUAUUUUAAUGACUGAGAAUUUCUCAUCAAUGGCUACGAAGGUCAGAAGACAGUGGAGGAAUAUUUUUUUUAAUGUGGGGAAAAGAAAACAACUGUCAAGGUAGAAUUUCUGUGUGCGGUGGAAGUAUCUUUCAGGAAUGAUGCAACACACUCUCAAAUGAAGUAAAACAGAAUUUGUCACCAGCGGAUCUGCUCUAAAAAACGUGGUAGAGGCAGUUCUUCAGGCAGAAGGGGAUUGGUGCUGGGGAGAAACUUUCAAUCUCAGAAAUAAACAAUGAGCAACAAGGAAAGCGGUUCCUAUCUGGGUAAACAGGAUAAACUGGGUUCCGGAAGUCCUUGGAGCUGAAGUCCCCGGAGCUCCGCAGCGCAGUCGCCAGCAGCCCGGGUAGCGCUUCCCGGCGGCCUUUUCACCGUCGCCCAGAAAGAGGCUAAGCCAGGCGCAGGCAGCCGGGUCCCCGCCCCGGGAGCUCUCUGGGCCCUAGUCACAGCGCCCCUGACGGUUACAUAACGUGUCCCCGAGUUCCUCUAAAGAGCACAGCCGGCGUCGCCCCCAGGACGCCCAGGGACCAGAGGAACCCGGACGGGCACACACAGUCUCAGUUCUUCCACCAUCUGUGGGGCAGGGGCUGCCACGGGCUCGGUUCCGCAGUGUGGACGGGAGAGUGCCCCACUCCCUGGCGUCGCCUCCCUGGACCCCCGCCCCACUGCUGACGAACUCGUGCUUCUCUCGUGAGAGGAACAAAACGACCGCUGCGGAUACGGCGAGUGC